CGUCCACCUUCCUACCCUCUAUAACUCUAUACCCUUUUGUUUUGCUCGUUUAGGCCAUUCGUUUGUAGACUUCUAAUAUACAACUCACGAUUUAGGAAGUCUCUCCCCUUCCGAGUAUCUUACGGCAACAUUAUGCGGUGCAGAGUAUUCUACAAUACAGCCUCUCUGUCAAUAUUGUAUCAGACAUCAACAUCACUUUCAUUAAGAUAUCCUCCCUUUUUUCUCCUCUUCUGCAUUUCAGUUUUUUACAAUAAUCUUCUUCCUCUUCUUCAACAAAGUCACCUUCUCCUAUUUCUUCUUCCUUCGUCCACUUAUCCCCUGGCCUUUAGGUCUCCUUUUGAAAUCAUUCGGAAUCCUUUCGUAUUGGUGAAAAUCUCGUACACUAUUCGCAAGAGUGAAUUUCCCCUUAGUCGAAAGCUGGUGACAAAGGCAUUAUUUCUGAGAAUGGCAACAUUUAUGUGCAAAGAAAUAAUACAGAAGGAGGCCCAAAAUAUUGAAAUAGGCCUAAAUAAAACCUUUUUAAAAAGCUCACAAGAAACCAGAAUUUUCCUUAUGUCCUUAAAAUCGAAAAGAUGGUUACGCUCCAUAAUCUUUUGAUAUGCCUUGACAUGUCGCCGACAUCGAAGACAUUUUGCUGGUCCUAAAUGAUUCAAGUUAUAUGCAAAAGUCACUGAGGUUCUAAUAGUUUGGUGAAUUCUACAAAAAGAGUUUUUCCACUGCCUUCUAGAGUACUUCUUUACCAUUUUAUCCGCAAUAUAUUGUAAUAAGCUUUGUUAGAUUUCAUUUAAAAAGGAUUUCUAAUCGCUUUCCAGUUGAAAAACAGUUUUGAAAACAAACAGCCUCUUGGCUUCAUGCAUGUUACCUUUACACUUUCUUCCUCUAAGUCGCAACCAUAAACGAGUUUCAUAUAAAUUUCUAUUAAUAUACAUUCCUCAUCACAGUACAGCGCAUUUUAUGCAGUUUUUAAGGCUUUGAGGCUUUUCCCUCACUUAUUUAUUACAGGGAGACAAAGACGAAAUGAUCACAGUGACUGAAAAUAGCCUCUACCUGGCUGGCGAUUUAAAUCAGAGUUGACACAAGCUCAUAUAGGUCUGUGAACCAUCAAAGGUUAAUGCCAAGUGUAAUAAUUGAUCACAAAUGCAUGAGCGAAUCUUUAAUCGUAAGUCAUACCCUUCGGUUUACCACAGCGCCACUUGGAUUUCGACGUGAUACCAAUCGCUGUUCUGCAUUAAUUUUUACUAAGAAACCGCUAAUAAGAAACUGAAGAUGGCCUUUGAAAACAAGAUGGUCCUUGGACACAAUGGAACUUUCAGGUAGGAGGUUUGGUACCCAACUAUAUGAGCCAUUUUUCAAACAACAAGGUCAAGCGUAAAUUGUCGCACAGAAUUUUGCAGCAGGCAUCGUUAUUCAAAAGAUGACAGAAAAACAGAAUUCUCCUUUUUGAAUUCUAUAACCUUAACUUGCGCAUGAGCAAGAUAAAUGAACAAGAACAACACUGUUCAAGUGCCCAGAUGCUAUCGGGUGGCGAAGAAACGAUUUGUGGUUGCUGUAGAGCAGGGGAGCUAUAAUGGGAUGUGGUUACCCUAGAUAGAGAGUUAAUCGCUUUCAAAACAAACAAGAACAAGGAAAAUCUGAAGAGACCACAAUGAAAUGUUACGCGCGCGAUAAUGAUGCGAUUCUUGACGGCAAAAUUUAAAAUAUUUUGCACCAUGUAUACAUUAUGGCCUAAAGCAUUGCAAAAGGAUCUGGUUAGCCAAAUUAAAUAAAAUUGAUAAGACAUAAACCAGUAGAAUGGUUGGUGAGAUAGCUAUUUCAUCUCAACCAAAAGGAAAACAAGAAUAUUGAACUGAUCAGUACAACAUGUUCCGAUACCUAAGAAAAGGGAGUUGGAGAGGAUGGGUACAGUUUCAGUGAAUAAUUCACUAAAGAUAAAAAUGAGAUUGGCUGGUCACUGUGUGAGAGAAAAAAAGCCAAUGUGCAUCGGAGCUAAUGUUAUGGAUGCUGAUAAAAAUGAUUGGGGUGGAACUGCAAGUAGAGGGGAACUUACUGAAGCUGAUGUGGUUCCAUGGUACAGGACAGAAAAACAUCAAAGAUCUAUUUAAUGCAGUUGGUGAAAGAGAAGAGAAGAAGAAUCUAUGGACGGGCCUAUGAAACAUAACCCAAGUAAGUUUCAAGGAAACAGAAUAAUAAAAAUCGAGGGAAAUGCGAGUCUACCAUCAUACCGUUCUACUUUCUGUAUGUAAACAUGUACUAUGGCCCCUUGAAUGCAAAGGAGUCUGGAACGAGACGUAGGUUUGAAAUCUAAACAUAUUAUUUUUGUUCUAAUUUGUUUUCCUCUAUGUCACUUCAUUUCAAACUUUUCAAACGCAAUACCCAAGUUUGAAGUUACAAACGUAAAAUACUACUGUUAUUUAAACCUAACCAAAAUCAUUACAGAAACUCCUUAAGGUAGCUCUGCCAAUAUCCAUAAGAGUCAACUGAAUUAUGGAUAACAUGGUUAGAGUCUACGUAUAUAACAGUUUGGAUUCAUUGCUACUUUAAACUUUAAGAAGUACCACGCUAAAAAAUGGUAAGUUUGAUAGCAAAAUGAGACUUAUUUACACGAAAGUACACGAAUACACGAAAACUGGGAACAGUUGCCUCUAUCGUGAAAAAUAAGUCUCUAACCAUACGUCUCCAGUAGAAUUUGGUCAUUUCUUUUAAGGUCAUACGAAAAAUGCUAGCUUGAACGCAUUUAUUCUACCCUUUACGAAAACUCUUCCUGACAUAAAGUUCUUUGUCUUUUAACUACCUCCGCUUAUUAGAUCAUUAAAUAAUAACAUAUGUUCAAUAGGUAGGUGCGUAUAGGCAAGCAAAAUAUCUAAGAAAAAGGUGUUAUUGAUUGAAUUGUUCAAAACACUCUCGCUAGAAUUUGAAAUUAAUUGAAUCUCAAUAUUCUUCAAAAGAAAUGCAUGAACUAGUGACCUGAAAUUGGCUUCAUGAAUGCAGCAUUAUACACUUUCAAAGACAAGCUAUCACAUAAGUUCCUGCCAUGGAGAAAAAGGAACGUCAAUACAAUGCGCGCUUCCCUCUCGGAAGGAGCAGCAACCUUAAUAGUGGUCGGCCUCCUUGAAUGACGUCACCCAAUGAGUAACUGGAAAACUGCCUACUUCCUUGUUUGAAUAACUUACAAAUGUUUAUUGCCUAUUCGAUCAGGAAUUAUGCCUCUAAUUAAAACACAGGAGCGACACAUCUGAAAAGACUAUGGUUUGACGGCAACGCAAUGUAAUCAAAAGAUCAUCGUCCAAUAAAAUAUGGACGGCGAAUUUCUAACGUACGAAAAAAAUUUUUUGAUUGUAUAUCAAGUGAAACACUGAUUUCGUGAGAAAGACAAAGUGCAAGUUGUUAAUGAGUUUCAAACAAGUUGUUCAGUGUGGGGAUACUAUGGGGUGACCUCACCUCUCCUAAAUAUCAGGAAAAAUCAAGACUAAAAUCUCAUACAACAUAGAUUUUUGUGUUUUAAAAAUCACCCCCUACCUAAUUGGUCAGAAGCUUGUGUCUGAGAAAGGAUAAAGUUAGUAAUAGGUUUAUGAGAUAACUUAUUUCAUAGUAGCUUACGAAAUGGUUGUUUACCAGCAUUUGAAGGGUGUGGUUUAAAAAAUGCCAAACUGGUUAGGAGCUCAGUAACUACUACGCAUGCUCUGUUAUUGCAAAGACGGGGGUGGUAUCAGAAGACAUUACGUUAUUAAUAUCUAACAAAGAAGCGCAAGUUGAUAAGGGCAAAUAAAGAGCAUCCUUCCUUCUAGCGUUGAAAAAUUCGUUAUUAUUGUAGUGCGCUUCGGCCGUAGGUUUUCCCGAGUGAAACACCUCAAUCAGGAAAUGUCUUUUCUUCGUAAAUUUUAUUGCUAAUUUACACAUUAACGUCAUUUCAUGGCGCUAAUUAAAGUCACCUUUUCCUAGACGCAGUAGGAAUUAGAACUAAACAACAAAAGGGCUAACAAAGAAAGCAACAUUUAUUAUAUAAUGAAACUGCAGAAAAUGAAGAACCGCAACGAAUAUUGAAAAUGCUGGUAUUAAACACCUAAAGACACAAAAUUCUUCAAGUUUAUUAAAGCAUUUCUGCGUGAAAAGACCCUAUCUUUAAAGCCAGGUGAUAAGUCAAUAACAGAACACCAUUUGACGAUAUGUAUGGAUUUCUUUUGUAUAACUGCAAUGACUAAGCUGUGACUGACAUAAAAGCAUUUACAAAAUAUACUCUUCGACAAGCCUUGUCGUCAUCUUAACGCCUAAAUCUGUCACUCCUGUGGUAGCAGCGACUGUUAUUUCAUCUCAGAGUUUAAUAGCCCAGUUACAAUUAAAACUAUAUACAUGUACUAACUGAAGUGUAUAAACCGUCUUGCUUUCAUUAAAAUCACAGAAACAGUUCUAACUUCAAACUGCAAAGGUAUUUCUCAGAAGAAAAAAAUAGAUUUUCUUGUGUCAGACAUAGGACUAACAAAGACCAACAGCCAUUUCUGCAAAUUCAAGCGUAAUUAUCAUAAUGGUAACUGUUGUGAAAACUCCUUCUGAAUAAAUAAACACAAACAACUUUUAAAUGAGGCAGAUUCCAGGUCAGAAGAUAAAAGGCAACAUUUUGACUUGGGAGAAUCAUAAAUGUACAAAAUAGAGUUACGUGAUAAUGAUAAAAAUAUGAAUUUUAAAGACGAGCCCCCGACUUCCGGGGCAUCAGGGCAGCCCCUUGUAUUUUCCUUUAAUCCUUGAGGAGAAAACGCAGUUUUAAAGACUAGCAUAUCAUCCUUUUACAUAUAUUUAAUAUAAAAAGUGUCCCUUUUAAGCCUCAGUACUUCGCCGCAUGGAUAAACUUUCUUGGGAUCUAAUGAAGAUUAUAAAUUUACGAAAUGAGAUCAAAAUUCCCUGGGUCUACAGCAAAGACAUCUUGCUUGGCCUAAGAAUUAUUGAUUUAUUAAAUGGAAAUUUAUCAUGUGGGAAAUAUUUAUUAAGCUUCUUCAAAGUGCUUAUCAAGUGAAAUUCUUUGUUCAUUGGCAUUCAUGUGAGAUGAUAUCUUGAUGAUUGGAAUUUAAUUAUAAAAGGUCUGGUACCCAUAGCCUGUGUUCCACACCCUUUACCUUCGAGCUAGGUACCUAGAAUUUUACCCAGGCAUCAAAACUGGAUAUUCAAAAGUUAAAUUGUUCAUUUUUACAGGUGAAUCCGUGGCCAUGCAUAGAUCAACAAACUGUAGAUUCCAAUUACAAAUAUGAUUACGAACAGCUACAAUUAUUGCAGCAUCAAUCGAUGGAAAAGGUACAAAGGAAAUGGGCUUGAGUUUGUGAAGGUAGCACUGAACCCAUGGUUUCAAACGAAAACUGCUUAGAGUAUGUUUUAAAUCUUUAUCACUAUGACUGAACUCACUGAUUCACAGAGGAUGGGAGAAUAGACGUGUUGAGUUAGACUUAAACACCAAAGUUUAAACGAAAAGAAUCAAGAGUUAAAAAGCAUCAAUUUCUUCAAAGAUUACUUUGGAAAAACGUUUUCAAACAGAUCCGCAUAGGAUAGAAACUUAGAUGAAAGAAGAAAAAAGAUCCAUAUAGGAUGCAAGCAUGCAUGUGCAUUUGAGAAGAAGAUAGGACUGAAUAGAGUAAAAUGCGAGGACACAGAAUUUGUGGUCCGGGGGUAUUCAAUAACUGUCAACUCUGCACUGCAAAACUUGAACCUAAUUCAUAUAGGAUGGAAGCCUAAAUGCGUAAUCAAGAAAGCAUGGGAUACGAUAUGAGUAAAAGUUGUUAUCUAUCGAAUCAUAGUCAAGAUUACUUUGUUGAUCAGAACUGAGCAGAUCCACAUAGACUGCAAUGUUGGAUGCGUGCAGAGAAGCUUGCACUCACAAGUCAAAAGAAAAGGAUAAGGACGCAAGAAUCAUCAACUUCUAAAGCACUGUCAAUAAUUUUUUUGGACAAAUUAUGCUAAACAGAUUCACAUAGAUAGCAACAUGGAAGAUGUUAUGAAGUCAGGGGCGUAGCUUCCGGGGAAAAUGUGUAGAGGGAUGUGGCACCUCCUAAUCCUUCAUAAGUUAGUCGAGAAAUCUUCUGCUAGUCCACAAAAUCUUAAGUUGGUCGGUAAAAUCGCUUUUUAUUGGCAAAUGAAAUACCAUCAAAACCUUUCUUCAUAUAUGUCUUCAUCGGUAAAUUUACUCUUGAUGACCCCCACACACCUAGUCCGGUAGGCCAAGCUAUGCCAUUGAAGAAGAUAGCAUUAAAUCCAAAAAAGUAAAGUGUAAGCAAGUAUCAAAUCUCUAUAAAGAUAAAGUUUGACAAUCUAGACUAAAUUGAUAUCACACAGAACAUGAGGAUAUAAUCUAGUACGCGUUGGUAUAGACAAACAAGUAGAUCAAUGCCUUAAGCUAAUUAAUACUUCAUUUCUGAUGACAUGGGUGAAAGAGCUAUCUGCAGUAGUGUAAACUUUCCUGGUUCUUGCUUGAGUAGAAAUUAAUGAAGAAAUUGAUACCAUCACUCACAUCAAGAGCUGUCUGCAAAUUUGUUAAGGUUCAGGUCAAACCUGUUCAAGACGUGAGCCACUCACAAUCUCAAAUAUCAAAAUAUCAAAUAUUUUCUGUCAUUCGCUUUCGUACCGGAAUGACAAAACGUGAAACACUACUCAUGUCCAACUAAGAAUGCUCAAUGAAUACCAGCUAACUUAUUAUACAGUUUGCUGAAUGUGACACAGAGGCGAAGAAAUGGAUUCUUUUACUCCGGGAACGAUAUAUCUUAUCGAUAGCUUUAACAAAAUGCCAGGCUUUAGCUGCUACUGUUAUUGCCCCCCCCCCC